rnacentral:rRNA from 1 species
GGAGGAAAAGAAACCAACAGGGAUUGCCUCAGUAACGGCGAGUGAAGCGGCAAAAGCUCAAAUUUGAAAUCCUCCGGGAAUUGUAAUUUGAAGGUGGUCUCAGUUAGUUCAAACAUUCUUAAGUCCAUUGGAAAAUGGCGCCAUGGAGGGUGAUAGCCCCGUAAAGAAUCCGUUUUGUUCUAUUUUCUUUGACCACCAAAGAGUCGAGUUGUUUGGGAAUGCAGCUCUAAGUGGGUGGUAAAUUCCAUCUAAAGCUAAAUAUUGGCGAGAGACCGAUAGCGAACAAGUACAGUGAUGGAAAGAUGAAAAGCACUUUGAAAAGAGAGUGAAAAAGUACGUGAAAUUGUUGAAAGGGAAGGGCUUGCAAGCAGACACAACCUUUUGGUUGGGCCAGCAUCGGGGCGAGGGGAAGGAAAAAAGAAAAGGAAAUGUAACUCUCGAGUAUUAUAGACCUCUUCCAAAACUUCCAUCUCAUCCCGAGGCCUGCGGAUUCAUCCUAGGAUGCUGGCGUAAUGGUUGCAAGUCGCCC